GAUGAACGCUGGCGGCGUGCCUAAUACAUGCAAGUCGAGCGAACAGACGAGGAGCUUGCUCCUCUGACGUUAGCGGCGGACGGGUGAGUAACACGUGGAUAACCUACCUAUAAGACUGGGAUAACUUCGGGAAACCGGAGCUAAUACCGGAUAAUAUAUUGAACCGCAUGGUUCAAUAGUGAAAGACGGUUUUGCUGUCACUUAUAGAUGGAUCCGCGCCGCAUUAGCUAGUUGGUAAGGUAACGGCUUACCAAGGCAACGAUGCGUGGCCGACCGGUGUGGGGGAUCGGCCACACUGGAACUGAGACACGGUCCAGACGCCUACGGGAGGCAGCAGUAUGGAACCUUCCGCAAUGGGCGAAAGCCUGACGGAGCAACGCCGCGUGAGUGAUGAAGAUCUUCGGAGCGUAAAACUCUGUUAUUAGGUAAGAACAAAUGUGUAAUUAACUAUGCACUUCUUGACGGUACCUAAUCAGAAAGCCACGGCUAACUACGUG
rnacentral:rRNA from 1 species